rnacentral:ncRNA from 1 species
UGAUAGCGUUGAAGCGUGAGGUUGCUGCCUGUGGGAUGGAAGGCAAUACCGCAUGGCAGGUUUUCCGUGGAGCGAAUGUCAAGUUAGGAAACUGGCGACAA